rnacentral:rRNA from 1 species
GAUGAACGCUGGCGGCGUGCCUAAUACAUGCAAGUCGAGCGAACAGACGAGGAGCUUGCUCCUCUGACGUUAGCGGCGGACGGGUGAGUAACACGUGGAUAACCUACCUAUAAGACUGGACAACUUCGGGAAACCGGAGCUAAUACCGGAUAAUAUAUUGAACCGCAUGGUUCAAUAGUGAAAGACGGUUUUGCUGUCACUUAUAGAUGGAUCCGCGCCGCAUUAGCUAGUUGGUAAGGUAACGGCUUACCAAGGCAACGAUGCGUAGCCGACCUGAGAGGGUGAUCGGCCACACUGGAACUGAGACACGGUCCAGACUCCUACGGGAGGCAGCAGUAGGGAAUCUUCCGCAAUGGGCGAAAGCCUGACGGAGCAACGCCGCGUGAGUGAUGAAGGUCUUCGGAUCGUAAAACUCUGUUAUUAGGGAAGAACAAAUGUGUAAGUAACUAUGCACGUCUUGACGGUACCUAAUCAGAAAGCCACGGCUAACUACGUG